GGGGCUGGGGCUCAGUGGUAGAGCGUUUGCCUCACACGCAUGAGGCACUGGGUUCGAUCCUCAGCAUCACAU
rfam:Ictidomys tridecemlineatus contig019774, whole genome shotgun sequence.